CGUCAGCCAUGGGUCACUUGUGCCAUUCAGCCAAGGGGACGACCGUGCCUGCUGGCCCAGCUGGGCUCCGCCCAGUGAGCCCACCCCCCAUUCUCCUGCCACU
rnacentral:sRNA from 1 species